rnacentral:rRNA from 1 species
UACUCUUGACAUCCAGAGAACUUUCCAGAGAUGGAUUGGUGCCUUCGGGAACUCUGAGACAGGUGCUGCAUGGCUGUCGUCAGCUCGUGUUGUGAAAUGUUGGGUUAAGUCCCGUAACGAGCGCAACCCUUAUCCUUAUUUGCCAGCGAGUAAUGUCGGGAACUCUAAGGAGACUGCCGGUGACAAACCGGAGGAAGGUGGGGAUGACGUCAAGUCAUCAUGGCCCUUACGAGUAGGGCUACACACGUGCUACAAUGGCCGGUACAGAGGGCUGCAAACUCGCGAGAGUAAGCUAAUCUCACAAACCGGUCGUAGUCCGGAUCGCAGUCUGCAACUCGACUGCGUGAAGUCGGAAUCGCUAGUAAUCGUGAAUCAGAAUGUCACGGUGAAUACGUUCCCGGGCCU